rnacentral:rRNA from 1 species
CUACGUGCCAGCAGCCGCGGUAAUACGGAAGGUCCAGGCGUUAUCCGGAUUUAUUGGGUUUAAAGGGAGUGUAGGCGGUCUGUUAAGCGUGUUGUGAAAUUUAGGUGCUCAACAUUUAACUUGCAGCGCGAACUGGCGGACUUGAGUGCACGCAACGUAUGCGGAAUUCAUGGUGUAGCGGUGAAAUGCUUAGAUAUCAUGACGAACUCCGAUUGCGAAGGCAGCGUACGGGAGUGUUACUGACGCUUAAGCUCGAAGGUGCGGGUAUCGAACAGGAUUAGAUACCCUGGUAGUCCGCACGGUAAGCGAUGGAUGCCCGCUGUUAGCGCCUGGCGUUAGCGGCUAAGCGAAAGCAUUAAGCAUCCCACCUGGGGAGUACGCCGGCAACGGUGAAACUCAAAGGAAUUGACGGGGGCCCGCACAAGCGGUGGAGUAUGUGGUUUAAUUCGACGCAACGCGAAGAACCUUACCAGGGCUUGACAU